rnacentral:rRNA from 1 species
AUUGAACGCUGGCGGCAGGCCUCACACAUGCAAGUCGAACGAGUGGCGGACGGGUGAGUAAUGUCUGGGAAACUGCCUGAUGGAGGGGGCUAACUACUGGAAACGGUAGCUAAUACCGCAUACCAUCGGAUGUGCACAGCUGGGAUUAGCUCGUAGGUGGGGUAACGGCUCACCUAGGCGACGAUCCCUAGCUGGGCUGCGGGGAUGACCAGCAACACGGGAACUGAGACAGGGUCCAGACUCCUACGUGAGGCAGCAGUGGGGAAUAUUGCACAAUGGGCGCAAGCCUGAUGCAGCCAUGCCGCGUGUAUGAAGAAGGCCUGCGGGUUGUAAAGUACUUUCAUCGGGGAGGCGUUACCCGCAGAAGAAGCACCGGCUAACUCCGUGCCAGCCGCCGCGGUAAUAC